rnacentral:lncRNA from 1 species
UGAGGUGCUGCAAGAAUUUUACUAGUAAAUCAAACAUCUUUGUAAAGUUCUGGGUUUCAAACACUCGAUCUACAGGCAAACUAUACAGUGCCUUAUUUCAAUAGGGACUUGAGAUAUUUUACUACGUGAACAUAUACAAUAAUGAUAGGUAUAGAAUAUCUGUCCUAGGAAAAAUAUAUUUAAAAAGAAAUGCAAGUAUGCAAGUCAGGAUGCAUGUUAGACAUGAAUUUCAAAUUUGGCUCUUGAGUUUCCUGUCAAGUCAAAGAGCAGCAAAUUCUUCCUAUCAAUAGUGGCUUCCAAAUUUUUUUUAGAAUUACAUUCUUUUUUUUCUUUUCCUUUUUUGGCUGCACCUCAAGAUCCUGACCUCUGCGCCAGGCCAGAGGUCAAAACCAUACUUGAGCAGCAACCUGAGCAACCAGAGACACAAUGCCUUAUUAACCUGCUGCACCACAGCAGGAACUCCAAGAAUCACAUUCCAAAAUAACUUACAUGGGACUUUUUAUACAGAGCACUGUAUGACACAAGGACAAGUAACCUGGCAAUAUCAUAUAGCAAGUAAGGUUGUCUAAUAUGGUUACUUUGAGUAGCUUGCUUAGCUGAAGUUGAAAGGUAUCAAAUUAAAAUGCUGCUCAGCAAAGGUGAUGCUGCUAGAGACAGCUUUUGCAAUACACACUGUUUUUUUUCACAAUGAAGGAUUCCUAUACAUGGACCAGUUUCCUCAAUUGGACAGCAACUCCUAUUUAAUGGCUUGGAGACCACAGCAUAGAAAUUAGAGGUGACUUGACAUAGUUAAUAUAAUUACAUCAUUUAUGGGUAAGUCUAAUAUUUGAAUUUCUAGAUUCAGNNNNNNNNNNNNNNNNNNNNNNNNNNNACAGUAACGUAAGGCUUCAAAAGAAUUUACUGGGAAUUUUACCCUUCCAAAAGGCUGCCCUCUAAUUAAAGGAAAUUAGUUUGCUGCAUAUGCAUGUAUAUACAUUCUAGAGAUAGAGAAUUGUAAACAGUUUCGGUAUUAAAAAAGCAGAAACACCCAAUUUUCAGCAUUAUCUGAAAAGAUUGCUUUUAACUACCCAAAGCAGCAAUACAUAUCACUCAUAUUGACUGUACUCAAACACACCAAAAUGUUUCUAAAACGUCCAGAAAAGGCCAUGGGCAGCAAGGAAUAAUCAGAAGAGAAGCAUCUGCUAUCUAAUCUUUCUUUUGUACUCUGCACUGGGAAUCAUAAAGCUGGGAACUAUCUAGAGAGAGCAUCCAGUAUGCAUAUUCACUCUUAACACAUUUUCAAAGAUCCCUAUUUAGAUCUCUAGUCUAGCCUGUUCUUAUCUUAAAUCUCAGCACCAACAGUAUAGGACUAAUUACUUUUAUCAGUGAAGAUGAUGAAUCACUAUGUCCCUUGAACAUUCUUUUACAUACUUGAAAUCCUUAAGCAACUAGUAUUCUUCUUUUAACAAGAUAACCACAGUUAUUUUUAUCUUUCCCCAAAUAUCUUACUUACUAAUCUUUAGACCUGUUCUUACUAGGGCAUCUCUUAUUAUUGUCAGAACAUAAUACAACAGUUUGGUACUUUAACAUGAGCUUCACAAAUUCCUGAGAUUUAAGAUUAUUUCUUGAUUUGUUCAAACACUUAACAGUUUUAUUUGUAGGUGACAAUGCCAUAUCUUGGAUUCAAUUAUUCAAAACAAUAUUCUAAGUAUUGUGGUAACUGAUCUCAUACAGCUUACAUUCUAGUGGGAAAAAAUAAACAAUAAAUCAGUAAAUAAGAUGUCAGAUGGAAUUGCUGUGGAAAAAGUAAAAGUGAUAGGGUUAGAGAGGGCUUUUGUGAGGAGCUAUCACCUGAUUUGAAACCUCUAGGAAGUUAGUAACCCUGCCAAGAUAUGAGAAUAAUGUUCCAAACAAUAUUUCGCUAAGGUAAGUUUAACUAAUUAUUUUGAUAUAUACUUGCAUGCUUUUGAAUUAUAUUACUUUUCACUGCUUUCUGUUGAAUAUUUUUGUUCUUAUUUUGAAGACAAAUUCUAUCUUUAAAAAGCUUUUCAUUAGCUCUUUAGUUGGUAUAUUCCAUAAAGUUUAAGAUGCCUGCACUCUAAUUUAAUCAGAUAUUUCAUUAUAUUAGCUAACUAUUUAGUUUGGAUGUGCUUUUGCCAAAUUACAUUUAACAAUGGGUGAAAAAUAAUAAUACUUAAAAAAAAAGUCUUUGUGUUACUGGUUAGGUCUAAAUGAAUUUUGCAGAAAAUAAUAAUUUGGUGAUGCUUUCUUUGUAGGUAAAAUACCCUGAAAGCAAACUGGCAGAGUAUGACCCACUCAGAUGAGGCUGAAAGGGGGUUGGAAGAUGGAGUGAAUCACUGAUAGGCUGGUCUAAUAGUAGUGAAAAUGCCCAAGAGAGAAAUAGAGACUGACAGACAGGUCUCGUAUAUGGGAUGAAGAAGUAAAUCCACUGGCAAGGUUGUAGAAAACCUACAUCACGCUAUCUCUCUGAGACAUGCUGCCACCACCUGGGCAAAAGGCAAUUUUGAAGAACAGGAAGACUUUAGUUGUAAUUAAUUAAUU